ensembl:miRNA Mir1843 microRNA mir-1843
CCUACAUGAAUAUGGAGGUCUCUGUCUGACUUAGGGCAGCUGGCUAAGUCUGAUCGUUCACCUCCAUACAAGCUUUUAAA